UAGAAGCUUAAUGAGAAAAAGAAAAGCACUAGGAAAACUAGAAGUCUAUGCUGACUCUCAAAGGCUCCUGAGGAAAACAGGCAGUCAGAGAAACUGGGAUGAGAAAAGUAUGAAGUGGAAGAGAUUCUGAGACAAUGAUGAAGAUGGGAGAAACAGAGUCAGGUGGUGGGAGUGACUGAUGGCCGGCGCUCAUGCAGGCCAGAGACCGGGAGACUAGUGCCCCAGGAGGAACCCUCCAUCGGUGAGGAAUGGGGGUUGGUGGAUGAAUUCCUCUGUUUCCUGCCUCUCAGUGGAUCCACGGCAUUUUCCACAGUCACUGAGAAGGGCACCUGUGAAAUUGAGCCCCUUCCUGGUCUCAUUUCCUUAUUCCUUCAUCGUGUCUUCUAGAAUCACCUCCCAAAUAAACUACUUGCAUUGAAAUAA